GAAGAAAAAAAGCCAACCAGAACGGAUACAACUCCAGAGGAAGUCAUGGCUUUCCUCUUUUAUCCACGUGUAAAAAUACUCCCUCCUCCGGAACCCAUGCUUCCCGGUUCCAGAACCACUGAGCCUCUCCUGCACCCUCCUCCCUGGCCACCUGGUCAUUCCACUGAGAACAUUGGCAUCGUUCUCCUGGUCUUCCUCUUCUGUCCUGGUGCUGCCAUUGUCCUGCUGGUCUUGGUGUCCAAGAGAACAGCCCUUACUGUAAGUCACCGUUAUCUCAGCCAUACCAGACCUCAUCAUGGUGGGAAAACAAGACCAAGACAUCCCUGUCUGAGCAAAGACACCAUUCCUGCUAAUCAGCUCAUUUCCUCAGGUCUGGCUUUCUCCACCUUAUUACAUUCCAUCAAGACCUUCAGAUUCUCAACCUCUCUCUUUUCCACCAGUACACCACUUCUCUCACUACUUCUCAUCCAUCCUUAUCCAACCUCAUUUUAAAAAAUCAUGUCUUCAGCUCCUUCUGCCAACAAGCACAGCUCACUUGAACUCCUCCCUGUGGGACUCUUGAUCACUGAGUAAUCCUUAAGGAAGACAUGGAGGAUUGUCACCUGAUACCCCUGCAAGCACAAGUUCUCCUGCAGCAGCUGAGUCCUGGAUGCCAUGUACCAGUCUUACCCUCCCUGACCACCUCUCUCCCCCAUUCCCAUAGUACAGUUCCAAAAGUUCACCCCUUUUCACAGUUCCCCACCUAACCCCUCUUCCAUCUCACUUUGCAAAUUAACUAUUAUCUUACUUCACCAAGAAAGCAGAAGCUGUCCACAGAAAACUCCCUCCGCACAGCAACACACAGAUAGCAUACCCACAACUACAUUUCAUUCUCAUAUUUUUUCCUAAAUUGCAGUAGGACAGAGUAACUUAAAAUCUCUUCUCAUGGGGGUGCCUGGGUGCUCAGUCCAUUAAGCAUCUGCCUCUGGCUCAGGUCAUGAUCCCGGGGUCCUGGAAUCAAACCAUCUGCCCCCUCUCCUCUCUCAUGCUCUAUUUCAAAUAAAUGAAUAAAAUCUUUUUAAAAAAUCUCUCUU
rnacentral:lncRNA from 1 species